rnacentral:misc_RNA from 1 species
UUGGAAAGCUCGGCUCCCCUGAAAUACAUUAGCGAUGUGACAUCCUCGUGCUCCGCGCUUCUCUGGCAUUGAUAGUCUUUUCAUGCUUAGAGCGUGUUCUGCAGCUGUGGAAAGUUUCGCUUGCUCACAACUGAUGGGUUUUUAACCCAUCCUCUGACCAAUUUAACCUCAAAUCAGGUAGGAUUACCCGCUGAACUUAA